rnacentral:tRNA from 1 species
GCCUUCGUAGCUUAGUGGUAGAGCAUCUCACUAGUAAUGAGAAGGUCAUGGGUUCAAUUCCCAUCGAAGGCU